rnacentral:rRNA from 1 species
UACGUAGGGUGCGAGCGUUAAUCGGAAUUAUUGGGCGUAAAGCGCGCGUAGGCGGUUACUUAAGUCGGAUGUGAAAGCCCUCGGCUUAACUGAGGAAGUGCACCCGAAACUGAGUAGCUAGAGUACGAAAGAGGGUCGCGGAAUUCCCGGUGUAGAGGUGAAAUUCGUAGAUAUCGGGAGGAACACCAAUGGCGAAGGCAGCUUGCUGGGACGGUACUGACGCUGAGACGCGAAAGCGUGGGGAGCAAACAGG